GCCCGGGUGGUGGAACUGGCAGACACACAGGACUCAAAAUCCUGCGGGAGCAAUCUCAUGAGGGUUCGACUCCCUCCCCGGGCA
rnacentral:tRNA from 1 species